UGAGGAAUACAUCGGAAUCUACCUUUUCGUGGGGGAUAACGUAGGGAAACUUACGCUAAUACCGCAUACGACCUUAGGGUGAAAGCGGAGGACCUUCGGGCUUCGCGCGGAUAGAUGAGCCGAUGUCGGAUUAGCUAGUUGGCGGGGUAAAGGCCCACCAAGGCGACGAUCCGUAGCUGGUCUGAGAGGAUGAUCAGCCACACUGGAACUGAGACACGGUCCAGACUCCUACGGGAGGCAGCAGUGGGGAAUAUUGGACAAUGGGCGCAAGCCUGAUCCAGCCAUGCCGCGUGGGUGAAGAAGGCCUUCGGGUUGUAAAGCCCUUUUGUUGGGAAAGAAAAGCAGCCGGUUAAUACCCGGUUGUUCUGACGGUACCCAAAGAAUAAGCACCGGCUAACUUCGUGCCAGCAGCCGCGGUAAUACGAAGGGUGCAAGCGUUACUCGGAAUUACUGGGCGUAAAGCGUGCGUAGGUGGUUGUUUAAGUCCGUUGUGAAAGCCCUGGGCUCAACCUGGGAAUUGCAGUGGAUACUGGGCAACUAGAGUGUGGUAGAGGAUGGCGGAAUUCCCGGUGUAGCAGUGAAAUGCGUAGAGAUCGGGAGGAACAUCUGUGGCGAAGGCGGCCAUCUGGACCAACACUGACACUGAGGC
rnacentral:rRNA from 1 species